UAUAGAUGGAUCCGCGCUGCAUUAGCUAGUUGGUAAGGUAACGGCUUACCAAGGCAACGAUGCAUAGCCGACCUGAGAGGGUGAUCGGCCACACUGGAACUGAGACACGGUCCAGACUCCUACGGGAGGCAGCAGUAGGGAAUCUUCCGCAAUGGGCGAAAGCCUGACGGAGCAACGCCGCGUGAGUGAUGAAGGUCUUCGGAUCGUAAAACUCUGUUAUUAGGGAAGAACAUAUGUGUAAGUAACUGUGCACAUCUUGACGGUACCUAAUCAGAAAGCCACGGCUAACUACGUGCCAGCAGCCGCGGUAAUACGUAGGUGGCAAGCGUUAUCCGGAAUUAUUGGGCGUAAAGCGCGCGUAGGCGGUUUUUUAAGUCUGAUGUGAAAGCCCACGGCUCAACCGUGGAGGGUCAUUGGAAACUGGAAAACUUGAGUGCAGAAGAGGAAAGUGGAAUUCCAUGUGUAGCGGUGAAAUGCGCAGAGAUAUGGAGGAACACCAGUGGCGAAGGCGACUUUCUGGUCUGUAACUGACGCUGAUGUGCGAAAGCGUGGGGAUCAAACAGGAUUAGAUACCCUGGUAGUCCACGCCGUAAACGAUGAGUGCUAAGUGUUAGGGGGUUUCCGCCCCUUAGUGCUGCAGCUAACGCAUUAAGCACUCCGCCUGGGGAGUACGACCGCAAGGUUGAAACUCAAAGGAAUUGACGGGGACCCGCACAAGCGGUGGAG
rnacentral:rRNA from 1 species